UUUGUAGAUAGACCCGACGAGGUGUCGCUCGACCCCUCCCGCAAAGGCAACGAGCUCCUCCGCCGCGGCGUCACUGCCGGCUUCGUCAGCGAGGUUAGCCCAGCGCACCUCGCGCUGAGUUCAUGGUGUGUUGGCUGCCGGCUUUACUCCCGAGGCAAAAGUCUGAAGCCUGCGAAUCGCCCGAGUCGUCGUUGUUAGAGCUAAUUUUGUGAUAUACUAGCAAAGAGAUUAUGUAUAGAAGAAGUAGAAACCAAUUUGAGUUUGGCAAAAUAUAAUAUUAGGAUAAUCAUUGUGUCAAUAGUACUAGCAGACUAGCAGCCCUUUUAGACCAUUUUGGUCAUAGGUGACUUGGUAGUUGAGGAAGAUGAGUUGUAGUUUCCAGCGCGCACACAGGACACAGGCAGGCUGGGUAUUGAUCACUGAAAAAAUAGCAUCCUAUAGCGCGUUAUAUCACGUUAAUAGCAUAUUUUCAGAGGCGGCGCUAUUUUGUGUAGCGUGCUAUUUUUUCCUUGCUAUUGAUUACUGUAGCACCACCCGAACAGCCUAUGUAAUAAGCUGGCAGCCUAUAUAUAUACUUCUUCGAGAGAAUUCUGGGUGAGAGCUACUGGAGUAAGAUGUAAGCUGUUGUCGGAGUAAAUGGCCACGGGUAGCCUAACCGACUCCUCCUGGCUCUUUGAAAAAUUAUCAGGCCGAUCGGGCCUUCAAGCAUCCAAAACACAGGGCCGCAUUCCCCUGAUCGGCUAUCUCACAGGCCGACUACCGGAAGGCGACCCGACCUCAAAAAACCUUCCCGAAGAUAACCAUAAGAUGGCCGAUUCCCAGCAGCCGGCCAUAAGUAGACCGACUCCCAGAGGCCGGCCAUAAGAUGACCGACUCCCAGACGCCGGCCACAAGAAGACCGACUCCCGGAAGCCGGCCAAGACUGCACCCACCAGGGCUGCACCCAUAUAACGGUGAUGAGACGGGGCGUGGCCACAGUACAGCCUGCCACCCCCGAAUCCCGGAGCAUGCAUGGCCAUAGUGCGCCGUACGGGUCAGCCAUCCCCCGUCCGGCGCGGCACUGUUGCCAUAUUGACCGUGACGCCACCCACGACAGGCGCCAGUACGGCCCGCGGGCGGCGGGCCCCUUCAGCCAGAGAGACACUCGAAGGCGGCCAGGCCUCCCCUAGUCGGCCUGGGGCGUAGCCGGCUAUUGGGAGCCAAGACGAGGUGAGGCUACAGUGAGAGCCCGCCAGGCGGCGGCACUAUAGCCAUGCUUACCUCGACAAAGCCCUCGUCAUCAAGGGCGAGGCAACAGUAACCAGCCACCGACAAGACCCCCAAGCGGUGGGGCCGGCCUGUCGACCAAGAGGCCGGCAGCCGGCGGGACCCACCAGUCGGCGGAGAAGCCGGCGAACCCAAACACUGAUGGCUGGGACCCGCGCCCAGCCAGAUUACCAUUGUAUCCUUGGGGUAGGCCUAUAUAAACCCCCAGGGCACCCAUGCAAAGGGUUGAUCUCUGAGAUAGUUUUAGACACCACGUAGAGAGAAGAGGAGAGCUAGCCUUGCCUUUCUUCUUCUUCUAGCCAAACAGCUCAAGGAGCACUUGUAGUUACUUGUGUUGAUCUAGUGAUCAUGCGGAGACCCCGCAGAGCAGGACUAGGGGUGUUAUCUCCACGGAGAGCCCCGAACCUGGGUAAGAUUCGCCGGCGUGCAUGUCUUUGCCUUAUCCCGUUUCCAGGCACCGGCGAUGUCUUACUGACUCCCACAAUGAUAAGCCACCCGUUGGCAUAUGUCACACCUACCACCCGACAGCUGUAGGCUGUAGCAGUCAAAAUAUGUAAUGAAACUUCCCCCUUUGUAAGUAACCACGUCUCCUUAGAGAGAAUUCUGAUGAGAGCUACCAGUUCUCUAAGUGGAUUUAUUUUUUUGAGACACGGUUCUAAGUGGAUUCUAGUGAGAGAACCUAGUAUAUCUAACAGUCCUGGGUGAGAAGCUAGCAGUUCUGACAGCCUUGGAUGGCCUGCUUUGCACAAUAGCGGUAACAAAGUAGACUCUGUGUCACGACAGGAAAGGCGUCGCGAUUGUCACGCACCUCCCUCGUGACCAUGGCCAUAGCGCCACCAGGUUGCCGUCUUCCUAGACCCCGAACACGCCUCUCCACCGUCAUAUUCCUGCUCUAGACCACAAUCCUCCAAUCAAAGCUCGGAUGUAGAUUUGCGAAGAUGGCUUCUUUCACCGGAUAAGUGUAUGGAGUUCUAUGGCGUCACACAUGGUUCUGAUGUUCACCAGAUGCCUUUUUUUUAGCUCGUUUUAGUUCAUAAUUCAAGUUUAUUAAGUGUUUGUUGGUUUAAUUUCAGUACAUUUAUGUUUAAUAUGGCAUUGUUAUAUGUAAUUAACCCUUAAGUUAUCUAAAUCUAAUUUAAAAUUGCUUUUGAACAGACUAUUUGUGUAAAUUUAUGUUUUGGAGGUAAACUUGGAGGAAUGGCUAGGUGCACAAAACUAUUAUUGCUCAAAUUUUGAGUAAUGAAGUGUAAGGGGUUAUUUGAGGAGUUAAAUUUGAAGGGGAGUGCUAGAGAUUCCAUCUGGGGAUUGCUGCGUAAAUGGAUUAUUGUGAUCAACUCCAUGAAAAAUUUGAGUAGUUAAAUUUUAAGGGGUCUCAGUGUCAUUUGAGAAGCUAAAUGUUAAGCGAAGGACGAAAGAUAGAUGCUGGAGACUUUCUGAACUAGUCAGUGCAACAAUAUCUCCAAUUCACGCAAGCAUCACACUACAUAUUUUUAUUCUUGUUUUUCCUUGCGUGCAGGUACCGAAUCUCGUGGGCAUUCUGUGUACCGCUGUGCAAAUCUGUGUGUACGCCUACUUGAUACUAUCCCGCAAGAUCCGCAUCUACUCCUUCCAAACUGAUGACGCAGUGGACUAUGGCUACGAGAUGGGAAAGCUCUUCGCGUUGCCUCCAGUGUAGGUCUGCCGUCUGCGGCGGCAAAUUGAGACUUGUGUUUAUUGACAACGAGGCAACUCAAAACUUUUAAAUUCUGAGCGAACUAUGAGAGUAUUUCGGUGGAUGGUCGAUCUAUCACUGAUCGAUCGAUAGCAGGCUCCCGUAUGAACCCGACUUGCCACAAAAAACAGAAAACACAGUUUUUAGUAAAAAAAAACAAAUUUGAAAUCUGUUCAUUUGGGACUAAAACUUGAAAUUCAGUUCUGUGGACUAUUCCUGAUUUCCUGCAACUCCAGUUUUAUGUAUGUCACUUUCGUAGUGUUUGAACUGCUCCUGUCAGUCAGAUCUCUGUUGUGUUUGCAAUGUUCAAUUCAUUCCGAUGCAUCAUGCAUGUCGAAAUUAGUGGUUGUGGAAGAUGAAAAUGGCCGAAGUAGAAUCAAACAACCUGGAGAAGUAGUUUGUUCUGGCAUGUCUCAUUCUGCACAACCUGAAGGAGAAGUUGUUUGUUCUGGCAUGUUUCAUUCUGCACAACCUGGAGGAGAAGUAGCCGGAGAAAGUGGUUGAAGACAGCACCAACAACCAGGGCAUGGUGUUUCGGCAUAGAGAAACCUUCUCUCCCUCAACUGUUGUGGGGAUUUGGAUCAUUUGCCACACUUUACAUGUGUGGAUCAAAUUUGUCCAACUGUUGUUUAACUCUAGAAAGGGUCCUUCGUCAACCCAAAACUAUAGGAAGCUUAUUCCCUAUUUUUGGCCAACGAAAAAGAAGUAUUAGUCACUCAAUUUGUAAAACCAGACAUAAUAUAUGCGCCUAAAAAACGAUCUCACUUAAGUCGAUUUUGCCAAACCAAGGAUCCAACGGCUUCCCUGUUUUCCUCCGCCCUCGCCUGGCCUUAAUUAGCAAAGUUGCUAUAUAAUCCGAGCGGCGGUUGCCGCCAAAAGUUUCUUUGCUUUCGCGGGCAACACCGCAGUUAGCCGUGAAAUCACCCCGUCCACGUGUAUACUGUCGGAAAUCUCGAUCAUAGUAGCCGGAAACGGGGAACGGUGGGCCGUCCCUCGAUCCGGAUUCAUCGACCCAGAAUCAGAUUCGGGAACGAGGGUCGAUUCGGUAAGAUUCGAUGCGGAUUCGGCGUUUCCGCAGCUGGGAUCAUCGAUUCAGGUUCGGCGACUCGACAGUGUUGGUUCUUGAAUCGAUCGAGUAAGCAAAAGGUCAGCCAUAUCAAUCACGAACUCCUUGUUUUACUCUCUUCCCCGUUCUUUUCCACUCCCCUAAGUAACUCCACGUUCUGCUCUCCAUUACUCCAAGGCUGCUAAUAAAUUUUUCAUUGGGAAGGAGAUGAUUUAUUUUAGUCUUCAUGGAUCGACGAUGCAGCCAGUUGCUCCCAGCCCAGCCAGUUCCCUAUAUAAGUACUCCCUCGGUCCCUCCCAGCCAGUUGCUCCCCGCAUCCAGCGACCAAAGGCGCAUGCAGCAGUAGAAAUUCAGAUUCACGUUCCUCGUUCCAUGGUACCGUACCGGAUUCAUCGUACUGGAAUGGAUUGGAUCGCGUUUUCGCUUUAAAAAAAAUCGUUUUAGAGAUGUAUACCCCUGCUGUACCCUAUUUUUUUCAGCCUCCGACUCUCGUCCCCCGUUCCCGUUCCUCGCUCCCACCGUACCGGAAACAUGGCAACUAUGAUCUCGAUCAUUUCGAGACAGCCGAUCAACUAUAUUUCACCGCUCCUUCAUGAAUGGUUUGCAAGCCAGAAAGAGCAAGUAAUUAAGCAAGAUUUGCGUAAAUAGCACUAACCUUGAGGAAGAUUGAAGGAGGUCAAGGGCGUCGAGCGCUUCGGUGGUGAGCACAAAGUCACCAACCGCAGAAAGCUAGACCCAUUCCGCAGGAGAAGAGCGAGACAGAGAGAUAGAG
rnacentral:lncRNA from 1 species